GUCUGAAAAUCUGGUGCAGCCACUUUUUUAUUAUCUUCUCAACAUGGAAAAUAGAUUCCAUUUUAUAUUUGAAAGAGGUUAUUUUAGGGACACCAGUAACUAAAAAAUGGACGCUUUUCCCACUGUCUAGGUUGUACCACAUUUAGAGCAUUUUCUCCUUGCUGGUGAAUGACUGUGACAGAUUUGAAACUAAAAAUAGUGGCACAAUAACUACAAUAAUAUAAAAAUUUUAACAGCAGCCUGACAUGGAUCUUGCUGGCCAUUGACAGUGUCUCAUGUCUGUAAUUGGGGAGGAAGAAGUUUCAAAGGACUCACACCAAGUCUUUCUGGAUUUAAGCUCCAUGGGCAUGGAGAGCAUUCCAUGUAGUGAAAGGGCAGCUGGUUUUCAGCCCAGCUGAAAACAUUUUUGCUUCAUCUGAAUUGUUGCUUCUUACUUUGAGAUUUUGUUUAAAUUCUACCCUGUUCAUUUUUUUCUGCAAAUACAUUUGAAAAUAACCUAUUCUGACUGGAGGUGAAAAACCCAUAGGGAUUAAAAACCUCAUAAAAGAUAUCAAAAAUCUCUUUUUUUUUCCUCUUGUAAUCAAUAUCACCUGCCUGCAAAUAUUAGGUGCAGCUUCUUGUUCAGGAAUUCUCUGACCUAGAAAUUGCUGGAGGCUGGAAGUUUAUUCCAUAGAUGUUUAAUGAUGAAGCUAUUCCUCAGAUUUUCCUCAUUGGAAUCUGCAUUUAGCCAAUGGCUCCUUCAGUCUGAGACAAAGAAUUCCUUUUCUUCUAAUGGUAUCCAUUUUUAUGAUGUUUUCCAAAUGUUUAGGCAUUUCAUCUGCUCCUGGAUAAUUUUAGCAUGAUAAUGUGUUUGAAAAUAGAGAAUUUAACCCUGGAAGAAACAACUGGAUGAAAUAUGGACAAACAUAUACCAGGUUUUCUAUGAAAAUAGGCUGAAAAUAAACUGCCUGUGCCUUGCAAUCUCUCUCCAGCACCCAGAUGGCAGCAAGAUGCUCUUUAAAACACAGGGCAGUGCUUUGGUGAGGAUGCUCAAGGUUCCCACGAAUGUUUAUUGUGAUUAUGCAAAGCACUUUAAAAAAAUCAACCACCACCUACAACCUAAUAAUUGUCAGGCAGCUUAAUGAUCUCAUAAAAGCUCAGUUAAAUACAGCUGUAAAUUCUCCUACCACAAAAAUCCAUACAAGAGUGGAAUAGCUUUGUAAGUCCAAUUUAUCUAAUUUUUUUUUAAGAGCAGGGAGUAUCUGAAUGUUGAAGGCUGUAAUACAUCCGUGUGGGAUUUAGGGCCAAUUAUCUGCUUUUUCUUGGAUUUCUUAUAUCUCCUCAAGUAAUUUAGCUCAUACCCACACUGAGCUCAUGUCUGUUUAGUUAUGGAGACCUUGAUUUAAUGAGUGGUGAGUUGCCCAGGCAAGGACAAAGGUAUUGGUGAGGCUUAAGGGUUCUGAGUGUAAAUUAAAUACUGGUGGUGUCAGUGGGAUUCUGGCAUUUGGGAGGUGCUUAAACAGUUGCUGAUGGAAAUCUGAAGUUCUGUGAUUUCACUUGGAAGUUUAAUAGCUGAGAGAAGAAAAUUGUGCAGAAGUAAGCUAAAAAAAAAAGGCAAAUAAAAAAAAGAGUAAGCUGGUGAUGACAGAAGUCAAGAAAAGGCUGUAUUUUGUCUCUUGCCCAGAUUUUUCUGCUGAGCAGCAGCAGAGGAGGACGUGGCCUUCCCUUGUCCACAGGCAAUGGCUUCUCCCCCAGCUGAACCAAGAUCUCGUGUCCAGUGUCUGCAGGAAAACCUGGGACCAGGCAGAGCUCUGGUCCUGCACCAGAGCCAGCAGAAUUUACAUUGGGAAAAUGCACCAUUCCUGCUCAAACUGGGGCACAAUUCCUUCCUGUUGGCUCCUCUGUAAUGGGAAAUCAGGAAAUGUGCUGCUCAGUCCAAAUCCACGUGCAGGGGGGUGGGUGUUCCCUGUGGGAUCAACUACUGAUAUUGUGUGCACACAAAUUCUCUGGAGAUAAGAAGAUCCUGAGUUGUCUGCUUUGGGAGGCAAUUUGACUCUGAGCCCAGUAGCACAUUGCCCAGCCCUUUAGAAUUCAGCUGUGUUUGGGUGUUUUAAUACAUUUUCAGAGUGUAAAGAAGGGAGGAAAGGCUGGGAGAGUUGGGAUUGUUCAGCCUGGGGAAGAGAAGCUUCAUGGUGACCCAAUUGUGGCCUUCCAGGACCUGAAGGAGCUGCAAGAAAGAGGAAGAGAGACUGUUUACAAGGGCCUGGAGUGACAGGACAAGGGGGAAUGGCUUCAAACUGACAGAGAGAAAGGUUAGAUUGGAUAUUGGGAAGAAAUCCUUCCCUGUGAGGAUGGGGAGGCCCUGGCACAGGUUGCCCAGAGAAGCUGUGGCUGCCCCAUCCCUGGAAGUGUCCAAGGCCAGGUUGGACUGGGCUUGGAGCAACCUGGGAUAGUGGGAGAUGUCCCUACCCAUGGCAGGGGGUGGAUUUUGAUCUUUAUGGUCCCUUUCAACCCAAACCAUUCUGUGACUCCACGUUUAUAUUGUGCUAUAACUGUGUCUAUUUUGCAUUUGUAUUUUAUUUAUGUUUCUACCUUUUUUUCUCCUAAACUUGUCAUCUCACUCUGUAAUUUUUCUAGGAUUUAAAAAGUAGGAGUGACAAGAAGAUGGACAAGGGGCAUAAGAUACCUGGGGCUCAGUUUGCCCUGUUGUGCCUGAGCAUUUGCAAAAGGAGAUGGUCUUCAUGGGAUGGCACCAGUGUCUGUGCUAUUGCAAGCAAGGUGGGAUAGAUGGAAAGGGGAAGGAAGGGCAGCUCUAAUUCCUUGGUCCUCUUAUUCCAGGUCCUUACGACCUGGUUGGAGAAGAAGUCACUUCAUCAUGAUAUCGAUUUAUCUCAUCUGCUAAAGGUUCACAAGCUUGAAGGCCACUCUUCCAAAAGCAGCAGCACAAGCAGCAAAGGCACAUUUGGAGAGCAGCACUGAGAUGAUCAAUCACUGCUGACAACUCCGAGUUUCCAUGAAAAACAGCAGCCCGUGUGUUGACACAGCCUGGACAAGCAGUUCUGGACAAGCUUCUGCUGGAUUGCAGGUGGAUGCUACAAUACAAUUUUCAGGUUCUGUUCGUUUUUCUGGAUGGAACCAAAAGGGAAGGGGUCAAACAGCACCUUCUACACUCCCUCUGGUCUUUGCUUUCUGGUGUGAGUAUGUGGAAAGGAGAAAGUGGAUGUUUUUCCACUGCCAGAAAAGGCUUGGGCUCAGUUUCCUCCACUUAAAGACUGAUUUAUGCAGGACCUGAGAGGUAGAAAUGCCAUUGAAAUGAUAGUAAACAAAUAAUAAAUGCAUAUUUUAGUCCCACAUCUACAGCAAGCUGAGCUGUAAGACCAAAUUAAUGUUAAUUUUUACAAUACUGGGUCUUUAAUUAUUGUGGGUCAGCAUCAUUCCUACUAAAAAUCAAUCAAACCCAUUGGAAAUAUGACACAAAUUAAUAUUUUUCCAUGGCUGCCAGUUUUCACUUGUCUGUACAGAAGAGUUUAUAUAACAGAAUUCUCAUAAUACCUUAAAGGAGGGGGGAAAUAGCAGGCAAGAAAUAGAUGUGUUCGUCUUUCAUCUACAUUUAAAGGGGAAAAAAUAGUUGCAAUGAAAUUAGAGAUGUGCUGAACUAUCCAUAGGAGAUUCCAAGCCAUUAUUAGCCUGCUCACCCUGCUACUUAUCUUCAAAUGCACACACCAGCAGCAGAAAGGAUUUAGGUUACAGUUUAGUAAUCCAAAGCUUGUAGGUACUGGGGUUUAGUGAAACUGGAGCACUUGUUACUAUAAUUUAGCUACAAAAACCCCAGCAUUUAGCAAAGUAAGAGGUCUGACUUAAAUGCACAAAAGCAAGGAGUUUGGGGGCUGUAUCAGCGAGGUUGGAGUGUCAGUCUGGAUUUUCAGCCUUAAAUCUGAAUUUCCUUGGGUUUGUGGAUUUGUCAAACAUGUAAGAGCGUUAAAAUGUAAACUUUCUGCUGGGUGAUAUUCAAAGCUCUGUCACACAGAAGGAAAAAGAGCAGGAAGAAGCAGCAAAAUCAGCAGCAUUGGUGUGGCUGUGGUAAGGAACAGCUCCUUGUCUUGUGGUUGUGUGGCCAGAGUGAGAAUCAGACACCCAAGGUCCUUCCUGGGGCCUCUCAGGAGAGGUUUUUGCCUUUCUCUUCCCCAGUUUCCCAGACCAACAACUGGAGAUCAUAUCUGCAAGUCUCAGAUGUCCUAAUUAGUAACAUGUAUCACGUGUAAAGUGGUUUAACACACCCGGAUGGAAAAUGUUAUGGAUCAUUUGAGACGGGAUUUUAGUUGUCAGUGACCAGACAGGACCCCAAUGCUGAGGAUUUGUCAGCAGAGUUCAGCCCCUCUGAGCAUCUCCCAUCAAAACUGGUCAAGGAAACAGGCUCUGGGAUCCUCAUUCCUGCCAGUGUGUUAUGGAAAAGGUGGAUGACACUUCUGAAAAAAGGGGAUUGGAUUGGAGGGAGCACAUCUUUUUCUUUGCAAAAAACACGUGUGCAUAUUUUCUGUUAUUCUGGGGUGCCUUGAAGUAGCUGUUGGGUUUUGGUUUUGCUUCAUGUAUAACCAAAAUAUAAGUGAAAUUGCUGCCAGAUUCGGGGUUCUUUGAAUUUUUAACCUUGGGCAUCAUUAUAGAAAAGAAAAAAUAUAGAAGCCUAUUUGUCUGAUGGUAAAACUGCAAUUUAACCAAAGUGAAGCUAUUUGACUGCUAUUAUAAUAUUAGCCCAGGUUGUCUGAAUCUAAUUGAUCAAAACUAAAACUGUGAUGGAAAAUUUAACUGGAAAAAUCAUUAUCAGAGAUAAAGCCCCCUAUAUCCAUUUCUCUAUUUAAUCUGCAGUCUCUAUAUCCCAAGUAAUCCCACUUAUUCUUGUUACAGUUUCCUCUGUUAAUGGUGCUCUAUGGAAGGAGGAAACAUCACUUAUGCAUAACACAAAUGUGUUGUGAAAAUCACAUUGUGUGGUGUGUGAAAAUGUUCAGGCCUGGGUUUAGUUCAGUAAAAAUCUUUAAUUCAAAGUCUAAACAAGAGCAGAAUUCCACAUAUCUGGCUUUCUGUGGGUGCAGCCUCCUCGUUUGCACGUGUCCUGUUGCCUGUGCUCUGAGCUGCUCGGGCUCUGAUUAACAGAGGUCACCAGAAGGGUCUCCCAAUUAAUCAAAAUAGGGAUCCAGUGCUCCAGCUGUCAAACAUGGAGCUGCAUUUCUGAUGGCAAAUUCAUGAGAGCGCUGCCAGCUCCCCCUCCCUCUGUUAUAUCACACUUGCUUUGCUGGGUUACACUGUGGAGACAAAGUUCACUCGUUGGUGGAAUAAGUUACUCCAAUUUGAAUUUGAAAUGGCUGACAUCCCAUUAUUCAGCUUAAUCGAAAUUCAGAAGAAUAUGCAAUUAAAAGUGCUGUGUUACCUGUGAAAUAAAUCCUGAGCUGCCUCUAAAUAUCUGGCUCUGCAGGGUACUGUUUGGAGCAUACAUGAGAAUGUGAGGAAUAAUCACCGAGGGCGGGGAGACAGGAAUUGUUACACAGGAAGGUAAAAAGCAGGAGAGAGACUUUUAUUACAUUUCCACCAGGAUAAACAGAGUGGAGAGGCCCAACAAGAAAUUAUAUGGAAAUUAUAUCCCUGGAAGUCCCCAAAGUCAGGUAGGAGCAACCUGGGAUGGUGGAAGGUGUCUCUGCCCAACGAGAUGAUCCUUCAGGUCCCUUCCAACCCAAGCCAAUGGUUCUGUGGUUUAAUGAUAUGGGAUAUAUUUUGCACCAGAAUCAUGGAAAUCCAGGUGGGGUUUUUUCAUGUAUUUAUCAUUAUUUUUGAAAAAAUUUGUAGAGAGGAAGUCCCAGACACUGCCAAGGUAAGGGUGUGCUGGGAAUAUGUGAUCUCUGAAUUAUCUUUAGAUCUACUACAAGUCCCAUCCAGAAAUAAAGAAGAUAUCUGCACCCAUCCCUGACUAUUUGUGGGCAGGGUGAGAAAUCCUACAAAUUCUCCUUUGGGAAGCUUUUUGCAGCUUUAUAUCUUACAGAACUAUUCUUUCAGUUCAGCAUCUUAUUGCCUGCCUGAGACUCAAGAUUUAUAUUGUUAAUUCUCCAAAGUUAAGCACUCUGGGUUAAUUUCAAUCUGUACUUAAUUGAAGUUUGAGUGACUAAUGUCAUAAUAAACUUGUUUGUUAUUCAUAAAGGCAGGGUUUUUUCUCCUGAAAUGAACCACAGAGACUUACAGUGUUAUAUUUUUUCCAGUGAAAGCAUAAUUUUGAAUAUCUUUGGGCAGGUAGAAACCUGUGGAGAGUCACAACCCCACAGGGUAACAUUCCCUUCGUGGACCUUUAAGACCUGUUGGUUGCUGCAUAUCUGGACAUGCAAGAACUGGCUCAGUGGACUCUAAUUUGAAAUCAUUACUCUCAAUUUUCUAACAGUAAGCAGCCAGCUGAUAUCACCACCAUCAGCCUGUGCAGGAAUCUUCCACAUAUUUCCACACCAAACCAAGGGUUUAAUAAGCAAUUAAUUGCUGAAAUGAUGCAUAGCUAUCUGCAAUAGCCACUGAGAGUCAUUGCAACAAAUUCAAUAUAGAAGAAGAAUAAAGUUGAGCCGGUGAGCAUUUCUAAAUGAACCUGUUUAAAAAAAAAAAAAAGAUAAAAAUAAUAAAAAGCCAGAGAGGGGGAGAUUAUUUGUAGAAGGACCAGAGGGAUAGUGAAAAGGGCAAGCUGUCACUUUUUCAAGUUAACUUUUAGAAAUCUCACUAAAGUUUCUGCAGCUGAACAGGCUGUAAAUGAAGCAUUUCUGGAGUCAGGUGGAGAAUUUCAUCCCCACCACAGCUCCACCUGCCCCUGAGGCUUUCCCAGCUCCUUCCCAUGAAGGUCUUGAUCAGCCCCUUGAAAAUAAACCACCCAAAAUAGGCAAUUAAUAAAGUAUUUCUAUGUAAUGGUACUCUCUGCAUGAGAUAUUUUCCUUAUGAUGUGUAUAUUUAUGUAAUAGAUUAUGGAUUAAACCUUUUGGGAUCUGCUGGAGCUUAGAGUGCCAAGGAAUUGGCAUGGAGACAGUGAUGCUGGGAAUCACUUAAAAGCCAAAAAUUAGGACAUUUUUAGAACAAAAUGGCACUUAUCCCUUUGUUGGAAAGGGCAGGAACAGAACUUUUCCCAUUCUAUUUCCAUGAAAAAGGAUGGUGGGAGACAACUGAUGCUCAGCACUAGAUGUAGCUGCCUUUGGAGCAUCCUCUCUGGAUCCCAGCAAGAGGCAAAUGACUGUCACCUUCCUCUUCUGCCUGCAAUAUUAUGGACAUUUAGGCAAGUGAUGAGUUCAGGAAGUUUGGAGUGAAGCUUUGCAGGCUCAGGAGUAGACAGGGGGUGUUCUAUUUGCUUCAUUUUCAGUUUAACCUAAAGAAAUAAACCCCCAUUUUUCUCCCCCUACUGCUAAAAAAAAGCUCAGUUCCAGCAAAGGUGUGCCCGUGCAAGAAAUCCACCGCCUCGGAAAUCUUUCCUGAUCUUGCUUGGAAAAAUGUAAUGGCUUUGAAAUGCAUUUUUAUGGCUUCAAAAGCGUGAGUUUUCCUCUCCUUGCUCGGCCUUUGCUCCACGAGGUUGGGUCGUGCAUAAACCUCUAGUUUAUACACAACUUGUUAGCGAGCAGGAAAGCUUUGAUUUCUUCCAGA